rnacentral:rRNA from 1 species
UAUUACAGCUAAAUCACCCUACAGCCCAAGACUGAUUACUCACUUAAGCUAAGCAGGGCUGAGCCUGGUCAGUAGCUGGACGGGAGACCACAUAGGAAAAAUUAGAUUGCAGUUGGUA